CGGUAAGGCUUGUCACUCCUCGGAGUGACUCGCACACGAGUGGCGCACGGGUGAGUAACGCGUGGGUAAUCUGCCCUCAGGUUUGGGACAACUCCGGGAAACUGGAGCUAAUACCGAAUAAGACCACGAGGUCCUUGGGCCUUGCGGAAAAAGGUGGCCUCUUCUUGAAAGCUAUCGCCUGUAGAUGAGCCCGCGUCCCAUUAGCUUGUUGGUGAGGUAAAAGCUCACCAAGGCAUCGAUGGGUAGCUGGUCUGAGAGGAUGAUCAGCCACACUGGAACUGAGACACGGUCCAGACUCCUACGGGAGGCAGCAGUCGGGAAUCUUGCACAAUGGGCGAAAGCCUGAUGCAGCAACGCCGCGUGAGGGAUGAAGGCCCUCGGGUCGUAAACCUCUGUCGGAAGGGAAGAAAGUAUUCCGGGCCAAUACCCCGGGGUAUCGACGGUACCUUCAAAGGAAGCGCCGGCUAACUCCGUGCCAGCAGCCGCGGUAAUACGGAGGGCGCGAGCGUUAUUCGGAAUCAUUGGGCGUAAAGCGCGUGUAGGCGGCUGGGUAAGUCGGAUGUGAAAGCCCGGGGCUCAACUCCGGAAUUGCAUUCGAAACUGCCCAGCUAGAGUCUCGGAGAGGAGGGCGGAAUUCCCGGUGUAGAGGUGAAAUUCGUAGAUAUCGGGAGGAACACCAGUGGCGAAGGCGGCCCUCUGGACGAUGACUGACGCUGAGACGCGAAAGCGUGGGGAGCAAACAGGAUUAGAUACCCUGAUAGUCCACGCCGUAAACGUUGGGUGCUAGGUGUCGCGGGUAUUGACCCCUGCGGUGCCGACGUUAACGCAUUUAGCACCCCG
rnacentral:rRNA from 1 species